rnacentral:lncRNA from 1 species
UGACCACUGUUUUGCAAACAGCAAUUUCAAGGGCAGGAUCACUGAGAAGGAAACAUUUGAUUGAAAGCCUGAAGGCAGUGAGGAACUGAGCUACAUGGCUACAUGGGGAGAAGAACACUCCAGGAAGGGAGAAAAGCCAGUGCAGAGGGACUCUGCCUGGUUUAAAGAGAAAUGGUUGGAGUGAAGUAAGCAGGAGGGAAAACAGAAGGAAAAGAUCAACUGUCCAAAACUUCCCAGGAUUGAGGGGGGGAAAAAAUCAGCUUUUGGAAAAUGAAUCUGUUUUCUGCCAGCCUAUUCUCCUUCGUAAGGAUCCCAGUCCCCUGUGAAAAAG